GGGUAGAUAAUUUAAUGGCAGAAUUCUUGUCUCCAAAACAAGCAGUCCUGGUUCGAGUCCAGGUCUACCCA
rnacentral:tRNA from 1 species